rnacentral:misc_RNA from 1 species
AGUAGUAAAAGACUAAAAAUCAGACAAAAGAUCAGAAUUACCUGUCAUAUGAUUUAUAGCACAAGAAUCAAUGACCCAUUUGGACGAGGAGGACACAAGGCAUGUAGUGAAUUUACAUAACUCAGCGAUUGCAAUGAUUGAGGAAUUGGUAGGCUUUAGAGAUGUCUUCUCAGAGGAGGAAGAUACUAUAGAAUUUUCUGUUACCAUAUUUGCCAGUGUUAUCAAAGGCGAGCGAG